rnacentral:lncRNA from 1 species
UGAUGGGAAGAGGAAUUUUAUUCAGAAAAUUGACUAAAAUUUGUUUUUACAAAAUAAUGAAUCAUGCAAACUCAUUACAUAGCAGUCUCAAGCCUUUUUCCAAUAGAAUUUGGAAUCUGAACAUGUGUCCAGUAGAGAAUAAAAGUCCAUGAAAUUCUAAUCAAACUGAAUCAAACUUUGCAUGAUGCAAAGUUUAUGACUCCCAAAUUAUAAAAUACUUAUAAAGCAAUUACAAAAUAUUAUCAUACUAAUUCAGAAAAUCUCUAAGAAAUCAUUCAGGCAAGUAGCUUGAGUUCCAAGUUCCUCCGUUAAGCUUUUCUAACUUUUCUCUUUAUUAGAGUUAAUUAUAGCAUAAAACUUUCUACUACAUUAGCACACAGAAAAAUGUCAUGCAAGAGUUUCUUCUCCAGGCUGCCUGCAACAGUAGAACCUAAUCUUAAGCUUUCCAAACAAUGCAGACAUUCGCCCGACAACAAAGAGAAAUAAAAAUUAAAAAGGAAAAACAGCCAUUGUAAGAGAAGAGAAAAAUCCAGGAAAGUCAGUCCCAAGGUUCGACCAGUGAAACGGAAAUAAAAUGUGUUGCUGGUAUAUAUGGUUUUAGAGUAUGUAAAAUGUCAAAGGAAGAAAUUGCCAUUCUCUGCCAUCUUCCUCUGUUGGAAAAGUCACCUGCAAUAUUCAACUGCAAAAUGCAGUCAGAUUUAAAAAGCCUUAAUACUGUAAACUCUGGCAGGCAGGCAGCACUUACUGCUAGGCAUCGUCAAAAUUGAUUACCUUUAAUGAGAAAUAGGCAGCUUUUUCCAAAAUAAAAUCAAACCUUCUGCCUCCCUAAAACUGACAGCUUCCAUCUUUCCUAACCCUGAGAUAAGAUGGAGAUUGCUGAGAGGCAACUUCCCAAUUCAAAGUUUCUAGUUACUGCAGAAAGGAAAGGCACCUACGGAACGCACAAGCCUUUCUUCCCCCCGCUUCCACAGAAUUCUAGUUAACUAGUUACCAGAUUACUUUUCAGAACAAAAUGAAUGGAAGCUACCUUCCCUUCAAUAAUCCCAAUAGAGGGAUUAAGCUGUGGUCUCAUUUUUCCACCCAAGAUCCAAACAGCCAAGCUGUAUAGCAAAUGGGGAAGGGAAGGAGAAAACUCAACAGGAUGACGAGCAAAGCUGAAGCUUCAUCUUGAUGAAAAUCAGUCUAAGAAUGCUGCUAAGUAAAGGUAUGUAAGCUUUUAUCCCCCUUUAAAGUCAUAGCUAUUUAAAAGGCAACUAACAUUCAUGAGGAGUUCUGAAAUCUUCCCUCCUAGUGUCUAAAAAAAGAAAAAA